rnacentral:ncRNA from 1 species
CUACGGACUUGAUUGGAUUGAGCCUUGGUAUGGAAACCUGCUAAGUGGUAACUUCCAAAUUCAGAGAAACCCUGGAAUUAAAAAUGGGCAAUCCUGAGCCAAAUCUUUUUUGGGGGAAAACAAGGGUAUAAAACUAGAAUAAAAAGGGAUAGGUGCAGAGACUCAAUGGAAGCUGUUCUAACGAAUAGAGUUGACUACGUUGCGUCAGUAGCUGGAAUCCCUCUAUCGAAAUUCGAGAAAGGAUGGCCAUAUAUACCUAAUACGUACGUAUACAUACUGACAUAUCAAACGAUUAAUCACGACACGAAUCCAUAUCGUAUAAUAUAUUUAUAUUAUUAAUGUUUAUUAUAACAUUAUGAAUGAUUAUGAAAUCAUGAAAUAUGAAAUGAAAUUCGGAAAAAAUUAAGAGUUAUUGUGAAUCCAUUCCAAUCCAACAAAAAUCGAAUAUUCAGUAAUAAAAUCAUUCAUUCCAGAGUUUGAUAGAUCUUUUGAAAAAUUGAUUAAUCGGACGAGAAUAAAGAGAGAGUCCCAUUCUACAUGUCAAUACCGA